GGACGAACGCUGGCGGCGUGCCUAAUACAUGCAAGUCGAGCGGACCUUUCGGGGUCAGCGGCGGACGGGUGAGUAACACGUGGGCAAUCUGCCCGAUACUCUGGGAUAACGCUUGGAAACGAGUGCUAAUACCGGAUGGUCUUCUUGGCCGCAUGGCCGAGAAGGAAAAGACGCGUUCGCGUCGGUGUCGGAUGAGCCCGCGGCGCAUUAGCUAGUUGGUGAGGUAACGGCCCACCAAGGCGACGAUGCGUAGCCGACCUGAGAGGGUGACCGGCCACACUGGGACUGAGACACGGCCCAGACUCCUACGGGAGGCAGCAGUAGGGAAUCUUCCACAAUGGGCGAAAGCCUGAUGGAGCAACGCCGCGUGAGUGAUGAAGGCCUUCGGGUUGUAAAACUCUGUCAUUCGGGACGAACCGGAGUCUGAGGAAAUGCAGACUCUCUGACGGUACCGGAGGAGGAAGCCCCGGCUAACUACGUGCCAGCAGCCGCGGUAAUACGUAGGGGGCAAGCGUUGUCCGGAUUCACUGGGCGUAAAGCGCGCGCAGGCGGUGAUGUAAGUCUGAGGUGAAAACCCGAAGCUCAACUUCGGGACUGCCUUGGGAUACUGCGUCACUUGAGGAUAGGAGAGGCAAAGGGGAAUUCCACGUGUAGCGGUGAAAUGCGUAGAGAUGUGGAGGAACACCUGUGGCGAAGGCGCCUUGCUGGCCUAUUUCUGACGCUGAGGCCGCGAAAGCGUGGGGGAGCAAACAGGAUUAGAUACCCUGGUAGUCCACGCUGUAAACGAUGAGUGCUAGGUGUAGGUGGGCUCAUACCCAUCUGUGCCGAAGCUAACGCAUUAAGCACUCCGCCUGGGGAGUACGGUCGCAAGACUGAAACUCAAAGGAAUUGACGGGGGCCCGCACAAGCAGUGGAGCAUGUGGUUUAAUUCGAAGCAACGCGAAGAACCUUACCAGGACUUGACAUCCCAUAGACCAGUCUAGAGAUAGACUUUCCCUUCGGGGCUGUGGUGACAGGUGGUGCAUGGUUGUCGUCAGCUCGUGUCGUGAGAUGUUGGGUUAAGUCCCGCAACGAGCGCAACCCUUACUUUGUGUUGCCAGCAUUCAGUUGGGCACUCACAAGGGACUGCCGCCGAUAAGGCGGAGGAAGGUGGGGAUGACGUCAAAUCAUCAUGCCCCUUAUGUCCUGGGCUACACACGUGCUACAAUGGGCGGUACAACGGGAUGCGAAGCCGCGAGGUGGAGCCAAACCCUGAAAACCGUUCGUAGUUCGGAUUGUAGGCUGCAACUCGCCUACAUGAAGCCGGAAUUGCUAGUAAUCGCGGAUCAGCAUGCCGCGGUGAAUCCGUUCCCGGGCCUUGUAC
rnacentral:rRNA from 1 species